UACGGAGGAUCCAAGCGUUAUCCGGAAUUACUGGGCGUAAAGAGUUGCGUAGGUGGCAAUAUAAGCAAACAGUGAAAUCGUGUGGCUCAACCAUACAUACAUUGUUUGAACUAUAUAGCUUGAGGACGAGAGAGGUAGAUGGAAUUCCCAGUGUAGGAGUGAAAUCCGUAGAUAUUGGGAGGAACACCGAUGGCGUAAGCAGUCUACUAGCUUGUUCCUGACACUGAGGCACGAAAGCGUGGGGAGCGAACGGG
rnacentral:rRNA from 1 species